rnacentral:tRNA from 1 species
AGGGGAAAGCCCAGUGGUAGAGUGCGUGCUUAGCAUACAUGAGGUCCUGGGUUCGAUCCCCAGUACUUCUG